CCAAUAGCGUAUAUUAAAGUUGUUGCAGUUAAAAAGCUCGUAGUUGAAUUUCGGGAUUGACACAUCGGUCGUGCCUUAAGGGGUAUGAACUGGUGUAGUCAAUUUCUCACCUUCUGGAGAACCGCGAUGCCCUUAAUUGGGUGUCACGGGGAACCAGGACCUUUACUUUGAAAAAAUUAGAGUGUUUAAAGCAGGCAUUUUGCUUGAAUACAUUAGCAUGGAAUAAUAAAAUAGGACGGCAUGAUUCUAUUUUGUUGGUUUCUAGGAUCACCGUAAUGAUUAAUAGGGAUGGUUGGGGGAAUUAGUAUUCGAUUGUCAGAGAUGAAAUUCUUGGAUUUAUUGAAGACUAACUACUGCGAAAGCAUUUGCCAAGGAUGUUUUCACUAAUCAAGAACGAAAGUUAGGGGAUCGAAGACGAUCAGAUACCGUCGUAGUCUUAACCAUAAACUAUGCCGACUAGGAAUCAGACGAUGUUAAUUUUUUAAUGACUCGUUUGGCACCUUACG
rnacentral:rRNA from 1 species